rnacentral:rRNA from 1 species
UACGAAGGGGGCUAGCGUUGUUCGGAAUCACUGGGCGUAAAGCGCACGUAGGCGGAUUGUUAAGUCAGGGGUGAAAUGCCAAGGCUCAACCUUGGAACUGCCUUUGAUACUGGCAAUCUCGAGUCCGGGAGAGGUGAGUGGAACUGCGAGUGUAGAGGUGAAAUUCGUAGAUAUUCGGAGGAACACCAGUGGCGAAGGCGACUUACUGGACACAUAUUGACGCUGAGGUGCGAAAGCGUGGGGAGCAAACAGG